AUUGAACGCUGGCGGCAGGCCUAACACAUGCAAGUCGAGCGAGAAAGGUCUUCGGACUGAGUAGAGCGGCGGACGGGUGAGUAACGCGUAGGAAGCUACCCGGUAGCGGGGGAUAACUCGGGGAAACUCGAGCUAAUACCGCAUACGCCCUGAGGGGGAAAGCGGGGGACCUUAUGGCCUCGCACUAUCGGAUGCGCCUGCGUCGGAUUAGCUAGUUGGUAGGGUAACGGCCUACCAAGGCGACGAUCCGUAGCUGGUCUGAGAGGAUGAUCAGCCACACUGGGACUGAGACACGGCCCAGACUCCUACGGGAGGCAGCAGUGGGGAAUAUUGGACAAUGGGGGCAACCCUGAUCCAGCCAUGCCGCGUGUGUGAAGAAGGCCUUCGGGUUGUAAAGCACUUUCAGCGGGGAGGAAAGGGCGCUGGUUAAUACCUGGCGCAGUUGACGCUACCCGCAGAAGAAGCACCGGCUAACUCCGUGCCAGCCGCCGCGGUAAGAC
rnacentral:rRNA from 1 species